rnacentral:misc_RNA from 1 species
GGAAGUAGAAGUCGUAACAAGGUCUCCGUUGGUGAACCAGCGGAGGGGUCAUUACCGAGUUUACAACUCCCAAACCCCUGUGAACAUACCAUUUGUUGCCUCGGCGGUGCCUGCUUCGGCAGCCCGCCAGAGGACCCAAACCCUUGAUUUUAUACAGUAUCUUCUGAGUAAAUGAUUAAAUAAAUCAAAACUUUCAACAACGGAUCUCUUGGUUCUG